GAUGAACGCUGGCGGCGUGCCUAAUACAUGCAAGUCGAGCGAACGGACGAGAAGCUUGCUUCUCUGAUGUUAGCGGCGGACGGGUGAGUAACACGUGGAUAACCUACCUAUAAGACUGGGAUAACCUCGGGAAACCGGAGCUAAUACCGGAUAAUAUUUUGAACCGCAUGGUUCAAAAGUGAAAGACGGUCUUGCUGUCACUUAUCGAUGGAUCCGCGCUGCAUUAGCUAGUUGGUAAGGUAACGGCUUACCAAGGCGACGAUGCAUAGACGACCUGAGAGGGGGAUCGGCCACACUGGAGCUGAGACACGGUCCAGACUCCUACGGGAGGCAGCAGUAGGGAAUGUUCCGCAAUGGGCGAGAGCCUGACGGAGCAACGCCGAGUGAGUGAUGAAGGUCUUCGGAUCGUAAAACUCUGUUAUUAGGGAAGAACAUAUGUGUAAGUAACUGUGCACAGCUUGACGGUACCUAAUCAGAAAGCCACGGCUAACUACGUG
rnacentral:rRNA from 1 species